UACGUAGGGUGCAAGCGUUAAUCGGAAUUACUGGGCGUAAAGCGUGCGCAGGCGGUGAUGUAAGACAGUUGUGAAAUCCCCGGGCUCAACCUGGGAACUGCAUCUGUGACUGCAUCGCUGGAGUGCGGCAGAGGGGGAUGGAAUUCCGCGUGUAGCAGUGAAAUGCGUAGAUAUGCGGAGGAACACCGAUGGCGAAGGCA
rnacentral:rRNA from 1 species